UGAGUAACGCGUGGGAAUCUACCGUGUCCUGCGGAAUAACUCCGGGAAACUGGAAUUAAUACCGCAGACGCCCUACCGGGGAAAGAUUUAUCGGGGUAUGAUGAGCCCGCGUUGGAUUUGCUAUCUUGGUGGGGUAAAGGCCUACCAAGGCGACGAUCCAUAGCUGGUCUGAGAGGAUGAUCAGCCACAUUGGGACUUAGACACGGCCCAAACUCCUACCGGAGGCAGCAAUGGGGAAUAUUGCACAAUGGGCGCAAGCCUGAUCCAGCCAUGCCUCGUGAGUGAUGAAGGCCUUCGGGUUGUAAAGCUCUUUCACCGGAGAAGAUAAUGACGGUAUCCGGAGAAGAAGCCCCGGCUAACUUCGUGCCAGCAGCCGC
rnacentral:rRNA from 1 species